rnacentral:rRNA from 1 species
GACGAACGCUGGCGGCGUGCCUAAUACAUGCAAGUCGAACGAACCGCGACUAGGUGCUUGCACUUGGUCAAGGUGAGUGGCGAACGGGUGAGUAACACGUGGGUAACCUACCUCAUAGUGGGGGAUAACAGUCGGAAACGACUGCUAAUACCGCAUAGGACAUAGGAUCACAUGAUUCUGUGAGGAAAGGUGACGCAAGCUAUCGCUAAGAGAUGGACCCGCGGUGCAUUAGCUAGUUGGUAGGGUAAAGGCCUACCAAGGCGAUGAUGCAUAGCCGACCUGAGAGGGUGAUCGGCCACAUUGGGACUGAGACACGGCCCAAACUCCUACGGGAGGCAGCAGUAGGGAAUCUUCCGCAAUGGACGCAAGUCUGACGGAGCAACGCCGCGUGAGUGAAGAAGGUCUUCGGAUCGUAAAGCUCUGUUGUUAGAGAAGAACAGCGCAUAGAGUAACUGUUAUGCGUGUGACGGUAUCUAACCAGAAAGCCACGGCUAACUACGUG